UACAUUGGCUUCUCAGAGCUUGGGCUCAAU
rnacentral:piRNA from 1 species